rnacentral:rRNA from 1 species
UACGGAGGGUCCAAGCGUUAUCCGGAAUCAUUGGGUUUAAAGGGUCCGUAGGCGGUUUUGUAAGUCAGUGGUGAAAGCCCAUCGCUCAACGGUGGAACGGCCAUUGAUACUGCAAGACUUGAAUUAUUAGGAAGUAACUAGAAUAUGUAGUGUAGCGGUGAAAUGCUUAGAGAUCACAUGGAAUACCAAUUGCGAAGGCAGGUUACUACUAAUGGAUUGACGCUGAUGGACGAAAGCGUGGGUAGCGAACAGG